rnacentral:rRNA from 1 species
AUUGAACGCUGGCGGCAGGCCUAACACAUGCAAGUCGAACGAGUGGCGGACGGGUGAGUAAUGUCUGGGAAACUGCCUGAUGGAGGGGGAUAACUACUGGACACGGUAGCUAAUACCGCAUACCAUCGGAUGUGCCCAUAUGGGAUUAGCUAGUAGGUGGGGUAAAGGCUAACCUAGCCGACGAUCCCUAGCUGGUCUGAGAGGAUGACAAGCCAACUGGGAACUGAGACACGGUCCAGACUCCUACGGGAGGCAGCGGUGGGGAAUAUGGCACAAUGGGCGCAAGCCUGAUGCAGCCAUGCCGGGUGGAUGAAGAAGGCCUUCGGGUUGUAAAGUACUUGCAGCGGGGAGGCGUUACACGCAGAAGAAGCACCGGCUAACUACGUGCCAGCAGCCGCGGUAAUUC